AUUGAACGCUGGCGGAAUGCUUUACACAUGCAAGUCGAACGGUAGAGGGGGCAACCCCUCGAGAGUGGCGAACGGGUGAGUAAUAUAUCGGAACGUGCCCAGUCGUGGGGGAUAACGUAGCGAAAGUUACGCUAAUACCGCAUACGAUCUAAGGAUGAAAGCGGGGGAUCGCAAGACCUCGCGCGAUUGGAGCGGCCGAUAUCAGAUUAGGUAGUUGGUGGGGUAAAGGCUCACCAAGCCAACGAUCUGUAGCUGGGCUGAGAGGACGACCAGCCACACUGGAACUGAGACACGGUCCAGACGCCUACGGGAGGCAGCAGUGGGGAAUUUUGGACAAUGGACGCAAGUCUGAUCCAGCCAUUCCGCGUGCAGGAUGAAGGCCCUCGGGUUGUAAACUGCUUUUGUACGGAACGAAAAGGUCUCUCUUAAUACGGGGGGCUCAUGACGGUACCGUAAGAAUAAGCACCGGCUAACUACGUGCCAGCAGCCGCCGUAA
rnacentral:rRNA from 1 species